rnacentral:rRNA from 1 species
UACAGAGGUCCCAAGCGUUGUUCGGAAUCAUUGGGCGUAAAGAGCGUGUAGGCGGCUUGUUAAGUCUUGCGUGAAAUCUCGGGGCUCAACCCCGAGCGGUCGUGAGAAACUGGCAGGCUAGAGUGCGGGAGAGGAGAGUGGAAUUCCUGGUGUAGCGGUGAAAUGCGCAGAUAUCAGGAAGAACACCCGUGGCGAAGGCGGCUCUCUGGGCAUGUCCUGACGCUGAGGAGCGAAAGUGUGGGGAGCGAACAGG